UCAGCUCACGGUUGAAGAUCUGCCUGAGGUCCCAACAUCCGAAGAAAAUGCUGAAAAGUUGGAUCUUCCCAACGUACCAACCAAAAAACCUGUUGCAGCUGAUGAUGCCAUUGAAGAAGAUGCUGUAAUUGUUUCAUCUGAUGCCUCCACAAAGAGAAGAGUUAUGGAAGAACCAUUGCCAGCAUAAGUGUUUGGUAUACUUGAUCGAGGUUGGUGAAGUGGUUUGAGCUGAGACUCUGUUAUUUGCUUUUGUUAUUUAUUAUGUCUCAUUCACCAAUAUCAUGUUGUACAGACACUUCCUUAUGCACAUAUAUAAAUUUAUU